AUUGAACGCUGGCGGCAUGCCUUACACAUGCAAGUCGAACGGCAGCACGGGAGCUUGCUCCUGGUGGCGAGUGGCGAACGGGUGAGUAAUACAUCGGAACGUACCCUGAAGUGGGGGAUAACGUAGCGAAAGUUACGCUAAUACCGCAUAUUCUGUGAGCAGGAAAGAGGGGGAUCGCAAGACCUCUUGCUUUAGGAGCGGCCGAUGUCGGAUUAGCUAGUUGGUGAGGUAAAGGCUCACCAAGGCGACGAUCCGUAGCGGGUCUGAGAGGACGAUCCGCCACACUGGGACUGAGACACGGCCCAGACUCCUACGGGAGGCAGCAGUGGGGAAUUUUGGACAAUGGGCGCAAGCCUGAUCCAGCCAUGCCGCGUGAGUGGAG
rnacentral:rRNA from 1 species